rnacentral:lncRNA from 1 species
AUCUACGAGAUGAGGCAAUAUUCAUUUUCUGGAAAACAAAUGUACAUAUACAUACACACAUGCUUAAUUUGUUGACCUCUUAAACUUUGGGAUAAUUUCUUAUAGCUUUAUAAAGACCAAUUACAGUGUUUCCCCAAAUAUUUUACUUUGAGAUAUCAACAUUGUCGUUGUUUCAACCUAGGAUUUGCUCACAACAUCAACACCAAAUAAAUCUUUCAAAAAAAGGAAGGACUACUCUUUCUGCCAACAGCAAACACCAAAGCCAACUCAUAUUCAUAAUUACUCAUCUUUUGAAACAUGUUUUGACAUGAAUAACUCAGCAAAGCUGAGUCACUGCCAAACAGUACCAACUUGUGCAAUGGCACUGGAAGAAAUGUGAUAACUACAGAGGCAAACAGCGACUCUGAGAAAAUUGAAUCCACCCUCAUUUGAUCCAGGUAAUAAAAGUGCUAUUUUCUGAAGAAGCAGGAAGGUUUUGUUCUCUUAUUUUUUCUCUUUUUUCUUUAAGAUUCCUUAACAAUUAGUAAAAUGUGUUUAGUCACAACAAUAGAAAUUUUGUCAAAGGUAUCAUGAGAAAAAAAGAACAAUGGCUUCCUUUGGCUUUUCACCACAAGGAUCUCAAAAUAUAACUUUGCAGUUUUCUGAACACCAAAACUCAGUUAAAAUGCAAAGAUUUAGGCAAAAAAGAAAGAAAGAAAAGAAAAGCUUUGGGGUAGGAAGAUAGUAAAUAAGAAGAAAAAAAGAAUUUAACUUCUAUAUGAUUAAGGAAGAAAAUAACUAAUUUUUCAUUUUAUUAGAGAAAUGUACACAUAUCUGUAUUCUCAUAAUAUACCCAGGUGUAUUUUACUAGUUCAUUUGCCAGGUGGGUCCAGUCCUUUGAUCAGAAUCCCAGUCUAUGGGUGGGAUCAGACAUAGACUGCAUGCCCCAAGUAUUUAAUCUGGCAUAAAGUGAUAGUUAAUAGCCCAGUAGAUCACAUGGGCUACAGUUCCACCCACCUUAUUAACUAAACUGAUAACUUGGCACUCCACACAUCCCCUACCCUGUUUUACCCAGGAGCAGGAGAGCAAUGAUAAGAAAAACUCGGAAGCAUUUUGAGUGAAUGCUGUAAAAUCAAUAUAUUCUGCACCUCGGUAGAGAGAUGUUUUGGCAAGUUUUUCCAGAAGACCACCUCAGUUACCUCAGUUAUUCCAAGACUAACAAGCAAGUCUCUAAGUCAGUUAUUUCUGGUUGCUACCUUCUGAUGGUCAUUUUUCCUUUUUUCAGAAAUAUGUACAACAGCUCCCUGAAUGCAACUGUUAUGAUGCAAAACAAACUGCAUGAUUAGGAAAUUGAGCAAAUUCAGGUGCCUUUCUGUAAAUUACUGACUGCUUUCUCUCUAAUCUCUUAAUCUACUCAGAUCUCUUUGAAUUAUUUCUCUCUCUACAGCUUUUGCGUCGCUCUCAGAUGCUGUGCCACCCAGGCAUUAAAUAAAUGUGCAGUUAUCUUGUCUCCUUGAUAAUUAACAGAGAUGUUAAGGGCUAGUACCAAUUCAGUGGCAUGGGCUGGAAACCUUCCAUUACCUGGUAUGUCAUUGUUUAUGCUCUAUUAAGCAGUUUUCAUUUCACCUUAUGGGCCCAUAUAACAUCCAAGCUAGUGGUUUCUCAAAUUACAGGUGGUACUACAGAUUUUAUUAAAUAGCCUCUUCUUUUUGUUUUCAGAAUCAUCUUUAUAUAUAUUGCAGACAAUCUGGAAAAUUAAAUUGGGCAAUAUAUAUGUCUUAAGGUUUUCAGUUUUCUCUCUUUCUCUCUCUCAAUUAUAUCCAUUGUUUUACAAGAUAGAAUAAUGGCAGUGUUUCUCAUUUUCAAGAUAAUAUAUUUUAUUGUUCUUGUUUAUCUUUUUCCCAGAUUAUCAUUGGUGUUUUGACUCAUUUUAUCAAGAGAUGCCUUUAAUUUUCCAAAAGUUCUUUUGUUCUAGCUUUAUUUCCAUCAUUCUUACAUACAAAAUAUGCAUGUUGGCAUCAUGCAAAAGUCAGUGGAUCAGAGGCAUCAUAUGGAGCGGCUUAGCUGCUCUCAAAAUCUUGUUAUGCAGGCUUUAGUCAGACAGGCUAAUACAGCUGCCAGAGAAGGGCUGAACACUCAAAAGGCUUUAGUCAUCAAAAUAUACAGUAGAACAGUAGAAAAUGACUGGAAUGGUUGUUGGUGGAAGAUGGUGCAGAGUCUAAGAGAAUUGACGUAUUAUCUUGGAUCCCAGUGGCAAGGGAACACUUCUGUCCUACAAUAAUCUCUCCCAUCCCCAACAGGAAAAAGAUGGGGAUGAAACCUUGUUACAGCAAUCUCAAACACAGGUGUACUUAUCAUUGGCUUUUCCAGCGAC